UACGGAGGGUGCAAGCGUUAUCCGGAUUCACUGGGUUUAAAGGGUGCGUAGGUGGGUCUGUAAGUCAGUGGUGAAAUCUCCAAGCUUAACUUGGAACUGCCGUUGAUACUAUAGACCUUGAAUGCUGUGGAGGUGAGCGGAAUAUGUCAAUGUAGCGGUGAAAUGCUUAGAUAUGACAUAGAACACCAAUUGCGAAGGCAGCUCACUACCCAGAUAUUGACACUGAGGCACGAAAGCGUGGGGAUCAAACAGG
rnacentral:rRNA from 1 species